AGUGGCGGACGGGUGAGUAACGCGUGAGAAUCUGCCUUCAGGUCGGGGACAACAGAGGGAAACUUCUGCUAAUCCCGGAUGAGCCUUAGGGUAAAAAAUUUAUUGCCUGGAGAUGAGCUCGCGUCUGAUUAGCUAGUUGGUAAGGUAAAAGCUUACCAAGGCAACGAUCAGUAGCUGGUCUGAGAGGAUGAGCAGCCACACUGGGACUGAGACGCGGCCCAGACUCCUACGGGAGGCAGCAGUGGGGAAUUUUCCGCAAUGGGCGAAAGCCUGACGGAGCAAGACCGCGUGGGGGAGGAAGGCUCUAGGGUUGUAAACCCCUUUUCUUUGGGAAGAACAAAAUGACGGUACCAAAGGAAUCAGCCUCGGCUAACUCCGUGCCAGCAGCCGCGGUAAUACGGAGGAGGCAAGCGUUAUCCGGAAUGAUUGGGCGUAAAGCGUCCGCAGGUGGCAAUGUAAGUCUGCUGUCAAAACCCAGGGCUCAACUCUGGUCAGGCAGUGGAAACUACAUAGCUAGAGUUCGGUAGGGGCAAAGGGAAUUCCCGGUGUAGCGGUGAAAUGCGUAGAGAUCGGGAAGAACAUCGGUGGCGAAAGCGCUUUGCUAGACCGAAACUGACACUCAGGGACGAAAGCUAGGGGAGCGAAUGGGAUUAGAUACCCC
rnacentral:rRNA from 1 species